CACACGACUCUCGGCAACGGAUAUCUCGGCUCUCGCAUCGAUGAAGAACGUAGCGAAAUGCGAUACCUGGUGUGAAUUGCAGAAUCCCGCGAACCAUCGAGUCUUUGAACGCAAGUUGCGCCCGAGGCCACUCGGCCGAGUGCACGCCUGCCUGGGCGUCACGC
rnacentral:rRNA from 1 species